GCUGGUCGUCUCUCCCCGUGCUCCCAGCAGCCAGGCAGGGAUGGAGCUGCUUUAUUAUGGAGCAGCCGCCGCUGUCCACGGUGCUGAUCUCCCGCUGCUGACGUGUCCGCUGCGGCCACAUGCAGGAGGAGCCCGCGAAAACGCUGAGAAGAAUCUAGAUCCGGAUACAGACCCAAUGAAGCUGCACUGGUUUGUCCCCAACAAUCCAGUUCAAUCCUGUUCCCUGUGACAGCAGAGACUCCUGGUAUUCAUGCAGGAUGUAGCUGGAUGUAGCAGCUGUAAAAAAAAAAAAACAUAUGGGAAAAGAGAGAGACAGAACGAUGAGGAGGAAGGAGAGCAGAUAAAGGUUUGCAGUGUGGACUCUCACCUCUGUGAAACUGAAGAAGAGUCCGACGCCCCCGAGGAUCUUCAGAGCCUCUGUUGCAUGAUUCAGCAUCAUAUCCCCGCAGGUGUAACAGAAACCUUUCUUUUUGCAUAACUGGAGUGAAAGACACAAAUAAAGAAGAAAGGCCUUUA